AGGAAUAAAGAACUAUUGAUGACUUAAUUAACCGUUCUUAAAAGUUUUGCACUUGUAACGUCACCACUAGAUAUAUAUGUCCUGGUUAGUAAUCACUGGAAGCCAGUGACUAAAGCGAAAAGUCUGGAAGCCUAGUGACCAUAACUGUCACUGAAUUUCUUCCAAGGAUCGAAACGAAGGGAAACGUCCCAACUCCGGCAAAGUCAGAAACUCAUCCAACUCUGGCUUCAACGGAAUUUUAACGAUCGAGAAGGCCGUCUGACCUUAAUUCGAAGCCAAACAGAUGCUAAAAUCGUUUGGGUUGUUCUGGGGAUCUCGUCUGGACGAAAGGGAGAUGGCACCGGCGAAACUCUGCUUCUAGCAUGGAUAAAUAUGAUUUGAGUAACGAAUAUGGUCUUGAGAAUUAUUUGAAACAUCAGAUUAGUAAGGGAAGGGGAAUCUCUAACCUAAACAAGAAAACAGAAUCGUCAUCGUCAGAAGAUCGACACCCCGCCGGAAGGAACAGAGGGCUCACUUCGAUUCCGAAAUCCAGGUUUGCGUCGAUCUAACCCAAGAUUCUUGAAAGCACGUGGGGUUGCGCCAUCGUCGAUUGUGAUUGAGAAUAAGGUCUACGAAUCGUGUAGCUUCGAGGAAGGGAGCUUGAGAUUUGGGUCUGUGGGAUUCUUGUUUUGAUUUCCAGAAGAAUCGGAGGAGUUGAGGCUUUUAAACUAUAUGGCGGUGAUGUAAUUGGUAGCUUCCAACUGGAGAUGGAUCGGUAUUGAUCCCUAUUGGAAUCAACUCUGAGAUGGGUUUCGUCGUCAAGAAAGGAAAGAGGUUGGGAGAUGAUGAUGAUGCUGAUGUCACCAAGGACGAUAAAAAAUUGAACCGCUAUACAUUGC
rnacentral:lncRNA from 1 species